CGCGUAGGCGGUUUGUUAAGUCUGAUGUGAAAGCCCACGACUCAAUCGUGGAAGUGCAUUGGAUACUGGCAGACUAGAGUUCAAGAGGGGUGAGCGGAAUUCCAGGUGUAGAGGUGAAAUUCGUAGAUAUCUGGAGGAACAACGGUGGCGAAGGCGGCUCACUGGAUUGAUACUGACGCUGAGGCGCGAAAGCGUGGGAGCAAACA
rnacentral:rRNA from 1 species